AAAGAACAGUCUGCAUUGCAUGCUCACAGCAGCUCCAUCAGAGGUAGUAGAAGGCAGGAAAAGAUCCCUGAAGACAAUGUUCCCAAUGCUAGAAACUAUCAACCCUUUAUCAAAGAAGAAGUUCUAGUUGGUAUAUACAGUGAUGUUUUCUCAUGCACUGCUGAGCAGUUCUUUAAUGUCUUUAUGGCUGAUGAUUCAGAUUUUGUCAA